rnacentral:rRNA from 1 species
GACGGACGCUGGCGGCGUGCCUAAUACAUGCAAGUCGAGCGCAGGAAGCCGUCUGAACCCUUCGGGGGGACGACGGUGGAAUGAGCGGCGGACGGGUGAGUAACACGUAAAGAACCUGCCCAUAGGUCUGGGAUAACCACGAGAAAUCGGGGCUAAUACCGGAUGUGUCAUCGGAUCGCAUGGUCCGCUGAUGAAAGGCGCUCCGGCGUCGCCCAUGGAUGGCUUUGCGGUGCAUUAGCUAGUUGGUGGGGUAACGGCCCACCAAGGCGACGAGGCAUAGCCGACCUGAGAGGGUGAUCGGCCACACUGGGACUGAGACACGGCCCAGACUCCUACGGGAGGCAGCAGUAGGGAAUCUUCCACAAUGGACGAAAGUCUGAUGGAGCAACGCCGCGUGAACGAUGAAGGCUUUCGGGUCGUAAAGUUCUGUUGUAAGGGAAGAACAAGUGCCGCAGGCAAUGGCGGCACCUUGACGGUACCUUGCGAGAAAGCCACGGCUAACUACGUGCCAGCCGCCGCGGUAA